AGAGUUUGAUCCUGGCUCAGAAUCAACGCUGGCGGCGCGCUUAACACAUGCAAGUCGCACGAGAAAGCCGGGGCAACCUGGCAAGUACAGUGGCGUACGGGUGAGUAACACGUGGGUGAUCUACCCUCGAGUGGGGAAUAACCCUGGGAAACCGGGGCUAAUACCGCAUAUUCCUGCGAAGGGAAAGCCGCAAGGCGCUGGAGGAGGAGCCCGCGGCCGAUUAGCUAGUUGGGGAGGUAACGGCUCCCCAAGGCGAUGAUCGGUAGCCGGCCUGAGAGGGCACACGGCCACACUGGCACUGAGACACGGGCCAGACUCCUACGGGAGGCAGCAGUGGGGAAUCUUGCACAAUGGAGGCAACUCUGAUGCAGCGACGCCGCGUGAGCGAUGAAGCCCUUCGGGGUGUAAAGCUCUUUCGACGGGAACGAUGAUGACGGUACCCGGAGAAGAAGCUGCGGCUAACUACGUGCCAGCAGCCGCGGUAAUACGUAGGCAGCAAGCGUUGUUCGGAAUUACUGGGCGUAAAGAGUGUGUAGGCGGUGCUCUAAGUUCGGUGUGAAAUCUCCCGGCUUAACUGGGAGGGUGCGCCGGAAACUGGAGUGCUCGAGCGUGGGAGAGGAAAGCGGAAUUCCUGGUGUAGCGGUGAAAUGCGUAGAUAUCAGGAGGAACACCUGUGGUGUAGACAGCUUUCUGGACCACAAGCUGACGCUGAGACACGAAAGCGUGGGUAGCAAACAGGAUUAGAUACCCUGGUAGUCCACGCCCUAAACGAUGCAUACUUGGUGUGAGCCAUUCAGUUGGUUCGUGCCGGAGCUAACGCGUUAAGUAUGCCGCCUGGGGAGUACGGUCGCAAGGCUGAAACUUAAAGGAAUUGACGG
rnacentral:rRNA from 1 species